rnacentral:hammerhead_ribozyme from 1 species
GUCCACAUGAUGAGUCCCAAACAGGACGAAAUGUGCAUGCUGGAU